GACUGGAAUGCGAAGUGACUGUUUCCUGUCUCUAUGAAAGAACCAAGAGGGAGAGACGGACAGAAAAAAUGUCUUUCGAAACACAAAGAUAUUUGAUGUUUUCUUCACGUCCAGCAACCAGCAACAGAAACAUCUCCUAUUUUGGCCGAGCUUAAUAAUUAAUUGAAGUUUUAUUGAUCUCAGCAGUGGCUGCCAUCGUUGGGCACCAGAGAGCAAUCAGGGUUAAGGGUCUUGCUCAGAGACCCAGAGUGGCAGUCUGUGGACAAGGGUUUCGAACUCGCAACCUCAGGAUUCCAAGCUCUAUGCCCCAACCACAAGGCCAGCACUUCCCUCCAAGCUUUUCAUGUUAGCUGCAGCACUUUCUAGUUCUGCCAGUGUUCUUUGCUCGAGCCGCUUCGGCUAGAUGACCGUGAUUCCUCCAGUCUCCGCCUCAUUCGGUCUCGGCUGCACGGCUUCAGUUCACCAGGCUCACCUCGGCAUUUAGUAAUCAGCUGGUCACAAGUCUGGACGACUCUAGUGCAACUCCGAGCCCCCCUGGGCUCAGGGCACCGUAUCCUAACCUUUCAGCCAAACUCAUCCAACUCCCGUGUCUACACACCAUCCUUAAUUACUCUGUAAACAAUAAUGCAUGUUUUUUAUGCCAUUUUAUGUUUAAGACAACCACAAUACUGUUUUAGGUUUAAUUAAAUUCUCCAUGUAAAUAAUUUGCCUUGUUAAUUGUUUUAUGAAAGAACAAUUUAUAAAUCAUAGUUUUCAAAUAGCAAAACAACUUUCCAGCUUUUACUUCAAUGUGUUAAAAGGACUUCAUUUUAUUUAUCUCUUACCCCUAAUAAUUGUUGAGUUGUAUUUGUUCUGUUUCAAGUUUCAUGAAAAGUUAAUUACAUUAAGAAAUCCUUAGCAUAAAUGUAACUUGCUCUUUUUGAAAAUUCACCUUUAAGUAUUCUUAAUAAUUAGUGUUUCACUUAUUCACUUUGUUACAGUAAGAUCAACAUAACUCAGGAGUAAUCUAAUUCUGUCAUCUAUGUGCAAAGGAAGGAUUUGUCUAAUCAUGUGGGGUUUAUCAUAAUCAAAUAUAAGCUUAAAAAUCAGUCCCUUUACAUGCCGUCAACAAUAUCAUUCUAGUGUAACAAUCAGUACAUUGUUUUCAGUUAAAAAUGCUUCUAAACCCUCGGGCCCUAA